CUUAAAUUUCUCAGCCCUCAGGCUCUUUCCUAAGGAUACCUCCACUGAUGAAGCUACACCAUCAACUUCAUCCUCAACAUCAACAGAUGCAUCACUUCUCAGUGCUGAUGUUUCCUCUAUACUGUAGCACAAGCUACACCAUCAAUACCAUCUCUCACAGUGGAAGACACUGCAUCCAGAACAGAAAUUGAGUCUGCACCACUUCCCAACACUGAGGUUUCCUCUACAGCUCAAGAUACCACAAGCACUGUCAUUAUAGCUGAUGACCCUACGCAGUGGCCAGCAGUCCUGACUGAUAGUGUGCACUGUCAAAUUGUUAAAAAAGGACCAGUGCAAGUCACAAACAUUGUUUUCCCCCAAAAUUCAAAAAUAUCUCCAUG